AUGGGGACCGGGCUGGGUCCCAAGCACAUCGGCGGAUUUCCCUGCGCCCCGGCGGGCGUGAACCAUGCCGAAUUCUACAGGGAGUGCGCGCCGCCUCGCUACCACCUCGUGGUGAAGGACUACGGGCAUCUCGACAUGCUGGAUGACAAUGUGCCCUACGUUAUCAACAACUGCAUGUGCAUGAGGAACCAACACGACACCAAAGACCUUGCUAGGAGGACCAUGGGAGGAGCCAUGGUUGCCUUCCUCAGGGCUAAAUUGUGA
rnacentral:rRNA from 1 species